CCUACGGGUGGCAGCAGUGAGGAAUAUUGGUCAAUGGACGAGAGUCUGAACCAGCCAAGUAGCGUGAAGGAUGACUGCCCUAUGGGUUGUAAACUUCUUUUAUAUGGGAAUAAAAUGUUCCACGUGUGGGAUUUUGUAUGUACCAUAUGAAUAAGGAUCGGCUAACUCCGUGCCAGCAGCCGCGGUAAUACGGAGGAUCCGAGCGUUAUCCGGAUUUAUUGGGUUUAAAGGGAGCGUAGGUGGAUUGUUAAGUCAGUUGUGAAAGUUUGUGGCUCAACCGUAAAAUUGCAGUUGAAACUGGCAGUCUUGAGUACAGUAGAGGUGGGCGGAAUGCGUGGUGUAGCGGUGAAAUGCUUAGAUAUCACGAAGAACUCCGAUUGCGAAGGCAGUUCACUGGACUGCAACUGACACUGAGGCUCGAAAGUGUGGGUAUCAAACAGGAUUAGAUACCCGUGUAGUC
rnacentral:rRNA from 1 species